rnacentral:rRNA from 1 species
GACGAACGCUGGCGGCGUGCUUAACACAUGCAAGUCGAGCGGUAAGGCCCUUUCGGGGGUACACGAGCGGCGAACGGGUGAGUAACACGUGGGUGACCUGCCCUCAGCUCUGGGAUAAGCCUGGGAAACCGGGUCUAAUACUGGAUAUGACUCCAUGACGCAUGUUGUGGGGUGGAAAGCCUUGUGCGGCUGAGGAUGGGCCCGCGGCCUAUCAGCUUGUUGGUGGGGUGANGGCCUACCAAGGCGACGACGGGUAGCCGGCCUGAGAGGGCGACCGGCCACACUGGGACUGAGACACGGCCCAGACUCCUACGGGAGGCAGCAGUGGGGAAUCUUGCGCAAAUGGGGCGAAAAGCCUGACGCAGCGACGCCGCGUGAGGGAUGACGGCCUGU